GAUGAACGCUGGCGGCGUGCCUAAUACAUGCAAGUCGAGCGAACAGAUAAGGAGCUUGCUCCUUUGACGUUAGCGGCGGACGGGUGAGUAACACGUGGGUAACCUACCUAUAAGACUGGGAUAACUUCGGGAAACCGGAGCCAAUACCGGAUAAUAUUUCGAACCGCAUGGUUCGAUAGUGGAAGAUGGUUUUGCUAUCACUUAUAGAUGGACCCGCGCCGUAUUAGCUAGUGGGUAAGGUAACGGCUUACCAAGGCGACGAUACGUAGCCGACCUGAGAGGGUGAUCGGCCACACUGGAACUGAGACACGGUCCAGACUCCUACGGGAGGCAGCAGUAGGGAAUCUUCCGCAAUGGGCGAAAGCCUGACGGAGCAACGCCGCGUGAGUGAUGAAGGUCUUCGGAUCGUAAAACUCUGUUAUUAGGGAAGAACAUACGUGUAAGUAACUGUGCACGUCUUGACGGUACCUAAUCAGAAAGCCACGGCUAACUACGUG
rnacentral:rRNA from 1 species